rnacentral:rRNA from 1 species
UACGUAGGGGGCAAGCGUUGUCCGGAAUCAUUGGGCGUAAAGAGCGUGUAGGCGGCUCGGUAAGUCCGCUCUGAAAGCCCGGGGCUCAACCCCGGGAGGCGGGCGGAUACUGUCGGGCUAGAGUCCGGAAGAGGCGAGUGGAAUUCCUGGUGUAGCGGUGAAAUGCGCAGAUAUCAGGAGGAACACCGGUGGCGAAGGCGGGUCUCUGGGCUGGUACCGACGCUGAGGAGCGAAAGCGUGGGGAGCGAACAGG